AUUGAACGCUGGCGGCAUGCUUUACACAUGCAAGUCGAACGGUAACAGGUUAAGCUGACGAGUGGCGAACGGGUGAGUAAUGCAUCGGAACGUGCCCGGUCGUGGGGGAUAACGCAGCGAAAGCUGCGCUAAUACCGCAUACGAUCUGAGGAUGAAAGCGGGGGACCGUAAGGCCUCGCGCGAUCGGAGCGGCCGCUGUCAGAUUAGGUAGUUGGUGGGGUAAAGGCUCACCAAGCCGACGAUCUGUAGCUGGUCUGAGAGGACGACCAGCCACACUGGGACUAAGACACGGCCCAGACGUCGACGGGGGGCAUCAGUGGGGAAUGUUGGACGAUGGGCGCAAGCCUGUUCCAGCAAUGCCGCGUGCAGGAAGAAGGCCUUCAGGUUGUAAACUGCUUUUGUACGGAGCGAAAAGGCGCUCUCUAAUACAGGGGGCUCAUGACGGUACCGUAAGAAUAAGCACCGGCUAACUACGUGCCAGCGGCCGCAGUAA
rnacentral:rRNA from 1 species